rnacentral:rRNA from 1 species
AUUGAACGCUGGCGGAAUGCUUUACACAUGCAAGUCGAACGGCAGCACGGGUGCUUGCACCUGGUGGCGAGUGGCGAACGGGUGAGUAAUGCACCGGAACGUAUCCAAUAAUGGGGGAUAACGCACCGAAAGGUGUGCUAAUACCGCAUACGCCCUGAGGGGGAAAGCGGGGGAUCGUAAGACCUCGCGUUAAUGGAGCGGCCGAUGCCGGAUUAGCUAGUUGGUGAGGUAAAGGCUCACCAAGGCGACGAUCCGUAGCUGGUCUGAGAGGACGACCAGCCACACUGGAACUGAGACACGGUCCAGACUCCUACGGGAGGCAGCAGUGGGGAAUUUUGGACAAUGGGCGCAAG